UACGGGGGAGCAAGCGUUGUUCGGAUUUACUGGGCGUAAAGGGCGCGUAGGCGGCCACCGGCAAGUCGACUGUGAAAUCUCCGGGCUUAACCCGGAAAGGUCAGCCGAUACUGCGGGGCUAGAGUGCAGAAGGGGCAACUGGGAAUUCUCGGUGUAGCGGUGAAAUGCGUAGAGAUCGGCAGGAACACCCAGGGGGAAACCGAGCCGACUGGGCAUCUACUGACGCUGAGGUGCGAGAGCGUGGGGAGCGAACCGG
rnacentral:rRNA from 1 species